rnacentral:rRNA from 1 species
UACGGGGGGGGCAAGCGUUGUUCGGAAUUACUGGGCGUAAAGGGUUUGUAGGUGGCCAACUAAGUCAGACGUGAAAUCCCUCAGCUCAACUGGGGAACUGCGUCUGAGACUGGCAGGCUUGAGUGCAGGAGAGGAACGCGGAAUUCCAGGUGUAGCGGUGAAAUGCGUAGAUAUCUGGAGGAACACCGGUGGCGAAGGCGGCGUUCUGGACUGUUACUGACACUGAGGAACGAAAGCCAGGGGAGCAAACGGG